AGGAUUCUAAUACUGGAUCCCCAUGACUAGUGUGGAACUUUGAAACAGUGAUUCCUCCCCCCAGGUCUCAGUUAAAUCAUCUGUCAAAUGAGGAUGAUCACAUCUUCCCUACUUCACCACUGGGCUGUGAGAUGAACCAGAGCCCCUACCUUUUUUCCCUGAUGACCUCCUACUCAUCCCUGGAGCAUCAAUUCAAAUGUCAUCUCCUCCAUGAAGCCUUUCAUUACUUUCCCAGUCAUACGGACCAGGAAGAUCACAGAGUGAGAAGCUCCUAAGGGGCCACCAGUUCACAAUUAGCCAUUCAAUAAAUACUUCCGUAAUGAAGGAUGAAUGAA